CAAGUCUUCAUGCAAGAAGCAAAGUCGGGCCAUGGACAGUGACUCUCCAAGAGUAGAGUAAUGGGACCUUCAGACCAAUUUGGGAAGGAGGAUCCUCCUUGUGCUUGUGGGCGCUCUGGACAGAAUAUCUGUCCCCAGGCAGAGAGAAGAAGGAAAUGAUCAUUUGACAGAGAAGAGCAAGAGAAAAAUCCAGGAAAGAGUGGCAAGACACCAAGCCAUCAAAGUCAGGACCUUAUGCCAAACUGUUGGGGGCAGGGUUCUGCACUGCGUGUUUUAGUUUUAAUCACAGGUCCAGGGCAUGCAGUCCAAUCCAGAUAGACAGUGGGUGGCUUUAUCCAGAUACAUCACAGAAAACCAUUUUUGGUCGUUCAUUUUUCUCUCUGAUAGCAAAGUAAGUUGAUGUCUGUGACAUGAAACUUGCAAAAGUUGUAAUCACAUGCUUCUGUAUCUCAGUGCAAUUCACGGUAAAUAUCUUGGACUCUAACGGCCUUAGAGGAGUGAUUUGUCACCUGGCUGCGCAGUAAAAUCACCUAGAAAAGCUUUAAGAACAUCGUCAUACCUGAGCUCCACUCCAGGUCAGAACCCUCUCCUACGGACAGUUUGAGACCCUGAGCAGAGGAAGGGCAUGAUUCUUCUUAUGGCUUUUAACAUUUGAAGGCCACUGUGGCCCCGUUUUCUACCCUGGGCCUCUUUGCUGGCUUCCCGGGACACCGAAUGCAGGACUCCAGGAGGCCUGGUGCCCAAGAGAUGGGCCAGAGAGCCAUGUAACGAGCCAGGAAAAAUAGGAAAAAAUUCAGAGUCAGAUGGAAGAAACUUAGGAUGGGCAAGGAAACACACAGACUGGAAAGGGAUCAGGCUGGCAUCUUCCUGACCAAAUUGGCAGAACAAUCUCUGAGGGAAUCAGAGAAGCCCAGGAAAGUGGAGAACCAUGGUUUGAAGGCGGCCAUCAUUAGCAGAGCACCAGCCAGCUUCCCACAGAGGAGCGUGAUUGCAGCCUCACGCUCAGGGCCUCUCACCUGCUUCUAAAACGUCAUAUUUCUGCACCUGAGAAUUAAGCCUUCCCUCCAGGGUGAAUGGCAGAGAGGAGGCAUGACCAUGGACUGACCUUGGACGGCACCACACCACAGCUCAUGUGGCUGCUAUCGGGCCCUGUUAGGAGCAGGAGGGAAGGACAAAGAAGCUAAAGGAACCUGUAGGGAAGGUAUGUCUGAGUCAAGACCCGGGGAAAAAGUGGGCUGCUGCUGCAGCUUCCAGAGACCACCCCAGAAACAAAACUUUUGGCCUGAGAAGGCUCGUGGCCAUGAGGAGAUGGUGGCCUCUGCUUCACUCAGAAGACGUAAACACAUCGGAAUGGUGAGAGCAAACCUUGGAGACGUGGAAUCCUAGCCCUCAGUGCACAAUGGGAGGCCGGGAAGCAGUGGCUCUCGGUCCCCUCUCAGGGGCCUUCUUUCCCUCUUGAGGGCCCAGAGAGGUGGCUCUGUGGCUGCUGCCCCUGGGCACAGACUGGAGUGACAGCGGACAGGCUCUGGAGCCUGCCUGCCUGCAUCCAAACCUGGGUGCCUCUGCUGGCCAACAUGUGAUCAUGUCAGUCAGAGCUCCACAGUCACCGGUGACAGGAACCCAUUCUGGCCAACUUCAGCCCAAAGGGUCAUGGCGAGGGAGUGGGGGCAGGAGCCAGGAUGGCCCUGACUUCCAUCCCAUCCUGUCCCAGAGCUGCUGCUGAGAGAAUCCACUCCCACAAAUCCCAAAAUGUACUUACCCUCGUGACACUGAAUAAGCUAGUACCUUAUCUUACCGCAUUUGUAAAAUGGGAAUAUCAUUAGUACUUGCCACGCCAGGUUGU